UACGGAGGGUGCGAGCGUUGUCCGGAAUCACUGGGCGUAAAGGGCGCGUAGGCGGCAUGCCAAGCGUGUGGUGAAAGCCCGGGGCUCAACCCCGGGUCGGCCGUGCGGACUGGCGUGCUUGAGCACUGUAGAGGCGUGUGGAAUUCCGGGUGUAGUGGUGAAAUGCGUAGAGAUCCGGAGGAACACCAGUGGCGAAGGCGACACGCUGGGCCAUACCUGACGCUAAAGCGCGACAGCAUGGGGAGCAAACGGG
rnacentral:rRNA from 1 species